rnacentral:misc_RNA from 1 species
UGAGAUGAAAGUAAUAGGGAGAACCCAUCACAAAAACUUAGUUCGAUUGUUUGGUUACUGCCAUGAUGGAUCUAACAGGCUUCUGGUAUACGAGUACAUGUGCAAUGGCUCACUUGCAGAUUUUCUUUUCAGGUCUCAGCAAAAGCCAGCCUGGGAGGAAAGAAUUGAAAUGGCACUAAACAUAGCCCGAGGAAUUGUCUAUUUGCACGAAGAAUGUGAGACCCAGAUCAUCCAUUGCGACAUCAAACCUGAAAACAUUCUGAUGGAUGAGAAAGGAUCAGCAAAAAUUG